rnacentral:misc_RNA from 1 species
GUAGGUGAACCUGCGGAAGGAUCAUUAAACGCGACUCGCCUACUAUCGUGUUCAGCAAUCUAGUAAAUCAUUGUUAAACAGCUUUUAUAGGGACUUCUGCCACGGGGCGUGGUGACCUGGAGACCUGGUCGCCGGCCGUGUCGGCCUACAGCGAGCGUUGUUCUACGACACCCUUACACAAUCAAAGACACUGACAGACUUUGAUUGUGCAGCGGGUACCAGGUCGCUGCUCUGCCCUCAAACCUACAAAAUCUUUCGACAAGUUAAUUACCCCACUUCUAAAACUGCGGUCGCGUUAAUUCUGACGAUCGAAAAAACUUUGAACAACUGUUAACAAUGGAUAUCUUGGUUCUC